CGUUUUUUUUGGCUCUUUUUUUUUAUUUUAACCAAAGGCCGCAGCGCGUCCACACAAAGAGCCGUUAGCAUUAGCCGCCGGUUAGCUGUUAGCUGUCGCGGGGCCUUCAGAGCUGCAUCAUCUCGAGUCUUAAAAUCAAAUUAACGUAAUUGACGGACACACGAUUUAACGUCUUAUUCGCAACAACUGCACCGUUUAUCUGAGCGGAGCUAACACAGGCUAGCUAAGAAGCCACCGGACUCACUGAGACAUGGAGACACCACAACGG